rnacentral:rRNA from 1 species
AAUUCACCUGGCGGCAGGCUUACACAUGCAAGUCUAGCGGAGCGAAGUGCUUGCACCUUAGCUUAGCGGCGGACGGGUGAGUAAUGCUUAGGAAUCUGCCUAUUAGUGGGGGACAACGUUUCGAAAGGAACGCUAAUACCGCAUACGUCCUACGGGAGAAAGCAGGGAUCAUUUGACCUUGUUGCUAAUAGAUGAGCCUAAGUCGGAUUAGCUAGUUGGUGGGGUAAUGGCUCACCAAGGCGACGAUCUGUAGCUGGUCUGAGAGGACGACCAGCCACACUGGAACUGAGACACGGUCCAGACUCCUACGGGAGGCAGCAGUGGGGAAUUUUGGACAAUGGGCGCAAGCCUGAUCCAGCAAUGCCGCGUGCAGGAUGAAGGCCUUCGGGAAU